rnacentral:rRNA from 1 species
AUUGAACGCUGGCGGCAUGCUUUACACAUGCAAGUCGAACGGUAACAGGUUAAGCUGACGAGUGGCGAACGGGUGAGUAAUGCAUCGGAACGUGCCCGGUCGUGGGGGAUAACGCAGCGAAAGCUACGCUAAUACCGCAUACGAUCUAAGGAUGAAAGCGGGGGACCGUAAGGCCUCGCGCGAUCGGAGCGGCCGAUGUCAGAUUAGGUAGUUGGUGGGGUAAAGGCCCACCAAGCCAACCAUCUGUAGCUGGUCUGAGAGGACGACCAGCCACACUGGGACUGGGACACGGCCCAGACUCCUACGGGAGGCAGCAGUGGGGAAUUUUGGACAAUGGGCGAAAGCCUGAUCCAGCAAUGCAGCGUGCAGGAAGAAGGCCUUCGGGUUGUAAACUGCUUUUGUACGGAGCGAAAAGGUCUCCUCUAAUACAGGGGGCUCAUGACGGUACCGUAAGAAUAAGCACCGGCUAACUACGUGCCAGCAGCCGCCGUAA